ACCCCAUCCUUUUACCACUUCCAUGAUAAAGCAACGAAAACCCUAUGCUGACAAACAGAGUAAAGAGGCAUCUCACUCACUAGACUUAUUAUAGAUAGACAAAGAUAUCCUUGAUUUUUAAGAUUUGGCACACUGUGCCUGUGAGGUCUUGGGAUUGGUUUAGCCACCCAAAUCCAACCCACUUAACCCA